rnacentral:lncRNA from 1 species
AUUUUUUUAAAUAUAAAAAAGAUAGACAAAUGAAAACAAGCUGGAAAGAGAUGAAUUUUAUUCAUCACGGUACCUCAUUUUCCUUGGCAGACUAACAACUGCACUAUCUGCACAGAUUUCUGCUACUUGAGCUAAUAGAGUGCCACUACCAGCCAUGGGUUGUCAUCCUCUGAGUAAAGCACUCCCAGAAGAAGAUUGCUGAUGGUCCCUGCAUUUCCAGCCUCUGCCAAGAUGGUGAUGGCCACAGGACUGCAGCCUGAAGAGGGAAGGACUGAAAUCCUGCUUUCACCAAGACCAACACGUACAAGAGAGGCAAUCACCGGUUGCUUAACAGAAGUGAAAAAGAAUGCACUUUUGGUCCUGGACUGUUCUUUGUAA